GCCAGUAUUCUAAUCCUGUGGGGCUCGCAGCUGCCGCACACUCAUACCAGUUUCAAUUUGRUGUUUCCAAGCUCUGGAAGAUUUCGCCACUUCUGCUAGAAGUUCUCCYAGUUGUUACCACCUGGAUGGCUUCCAGUUCAGAGGAAAAGCUGGAGAGACCGCCCUCCUUCUCUUAAGUAUGAGCUACUUCCUGACCCCAGCCUGAGCUAACCAGUUUUCCUCUAUUGGAUCCUGCCCUCAUGAUGUUCUGCCUCACCGURGACCCAGAACAAUGGAGUCAGCUGUCUAUAUAGACUUAGACCUCUGAUGCUAUGAGCCCCAAAUAAGGUUGAAAGUAACAUGAUCAAUCAAGGAUGGGAAACUCCAAAACUG